CAGAAUUCUCAUUUGAUAUUUGCCUUGGAGUUGAAGCAGGGGAAUUGGCUGGGGCAUUGCGUGAUUGGGGUGGUUCAGAGAUAGAUACUGAUGGAUCUACAGGAGGUUGUAAAGCUGGAGCUGGUGCUAAUUCAGGUGAAGGUGAAGGUGAAGGUGAAGGUGCAGGAGUCAAAAAGAUACUGGAGGGGGAUUCUGAAGGAGACAACGAUGAAGGUGAAGGUGACAUUGAAGGUGAAAAUGAGGAUUCUGAUGGCGAAGGUGAUGGUGACAGUUGGGAAAUUCUUUCAUUGGCUGUCUUAGAGGGUACAAGCACCUGCUGCAGCCGCCUCCCAUAAGCUAUAUCUCCUGGCUGGGCAAUGUUCCUAACAAUGAGAAGACAUCAUGAAGCAAGUAGUUAAUACUCUAUAUAACAAACUUUACAGCAUAAACCAAAAACUUCCUCAGUAUAGAAGGAUGUGAGAGCUUGCUAUAACUUCUCAAUUGGAACCACUAAAGUUAUAUAGUAAGUAACAUAGGGAGACACAUCCUAUAAGCGUCAGAACUCUGGGCUUCUUUCUCUGCAUAUGGUUCCUUGAGCUUUCUGCUCAGCUUUUUUCUUUCUUUUUUGGCCCAUGGCUGACAGAAUGAGGCAAGUCUAGAAUUUUUAUAUGGACAACUUCUUUUUCUUCUUAAGAUGGAUGCAUCAAAAAAGAACUCAAAGGAAGUUGAUAUAUUGCAUCAACUUUAAUUGCUUACCAGGGGAAACCACUGCUUUUACAAGAUGGUAUAGUAGCAGCAUCAGUUAGCCGAUUCUCAUCUACUUGAAAUUCAGAAAGCAUCUUAACAUCGUAUAUUUCAGGUGCUAGAUUUCCAAGAAACUCAUUGUUGUCAAGUAAACUGCAUUAAGAAGAAAUUCGAAUAAAAUAAGGUAAGGGACUAAAUAGCAGCUAGAAAUAAAAUAAAAACCGAAAUAUAAACAACUUGAAAAGAGGAUCAUACAGUGUUGUCAAGGAGAGAUUGUUGCCAAAAUCAGAUGGAAAUGGUCCACUAAAGUUAUUGAAUCCUAAAUCCAACACCUCCAGCUCCUUCAAUUCCCCAAUUUCUUGAGGAAUGCUUCCAGAGAAAGAGUUGUUGCGCAAUAUACUGCAGCAGUAUAUAAAGCAGAACUAAGAGAAAGAGUGACAUAAAGGAGAUUUGUCUAAUUAUAGACCAAGGAUGAUAAACUUACAUAGAUUUUAAAUUCUCCAGCUUCCCAAAUUCAGGUCCCAGGUUCCCAACAAGGCAAAGAUCUUUCAAAUUUCUGCAAGAAGCAUAGCUCUGAAUUCAGGGUUACCAUCUAAUUAACUAUACAGUGAAAAACAUGGCACAUCUACAGGCAAAAGCCACAGGGUAGAGAGCCAGUUAACAUCAACAAAAUCUAAAAUAAGAACAUUACAUGUAGCAUUAAAACUUGGUUGUCUUAUUUUUGUCAAGUUUUAUUUAUGUCAAAUUCAAUUCUUCAUAAACAACUUAAACAUCAAACAACAUCCAAAACAGGUCCAUAUCCCUUUAGAGAAAAAUCACUUUGAGAAAACAAAAAGAGCCUUUUUUAGUAUCAAGAGCCAAAAGUAGAAAUUGACUCUGCAGUUUUCAACCCGUAAAAAUUAUUAAGAAAAGAAUAGAACCUAACAUGAUCAGCUAUCUACCAUAUGCAAAGGGGAUUCCAAAUAUUUUCAUAUACUUCAACAAUCUCCCUGUAAAACAAAUUAAAAAGAACGCAAUAAAAUGUGCAAAAAGAGACAAAACUCACAAAAUUACAACUUUUUCAUCAGAGCAUUCGACCCCGAACCAAGAACACGGAUCAAUCUCUCCAUCAAUUUCCUUCCAGUUCGAUAAAGCACCAAAAGGGUCACUCACCACUCUCUGUUUGAACCUCAACAAAGCCAAACCUGCACCAUUUUUUUGCCACACAGGCAAAUAAUUUCUUGUAAGAACAUAUAUAAUAUACAAAGAAACUCUUGUUGAGGCCUGAAUAAAUACCUUCACGGUUCAAAGGCGAGGAGAAGCUCAUAUUCUGCUCAAACAAUGAUAAAACCAGCAUUAACAGCAUGACCACCAUCAUCCUGAGCUUCAACCGCUCGAAUCCCCAGAGCCCAUACAUGUCCAAAAGAAGAAGAAUUUUUUCUAGCUUUUCUCUAUCAACCUUUGAGAACAAUGUCAAAAAGAGUCGAAAAUGUAUUAAUAGAAUAAACACAAAAGAAAAUGUAAGAGAGCUUCUUGGAGGCUGCUAAAUGCCAUAGGCAGCUAAGUGCUAGCAAAUUUAGACAAUACGAGAAGAAAGCGCGUGUGGUAGCGGCGCCACUGCCGGUGAUCAUUUACUUUUUUUUAUUAAAAAGGAAACCUUUUCGCAAGUUAAAGUCGACAUUAGAUAAUUAAAGGGGGAGAAGAGAAGGCCAAGAUACAAGACAGAACUUACGGUUUUAACAAAUAGAGAAAGAGCAAAUCAAGAAUGUAAUAUUGGGUUUCGGUCUGAAUCUGAGUUUGGUCUUCGUCGUCGAUCAGCUGUCGCUGGUGUUCUCAUUUUGUCGACUUGUUGGUGGACUCACUCUCUCCAUUCUUUCCUCUAUUUAUAGCGCCGCCCUAUGAAAUCUCCCCCCACGUGCUUCUCACAUGCUGAAUAUUCUUCCUUUCAUUAAAUUUUAAGGGUUAAUUUCAUCAAAUUCCUCAAACUAUCACUUAAAUUUUAAAUUAGUCCCCAUAUAUUCUAAUUAAGUUAUCAAAUAUAAUAUUGCACCAAUUAGGUUCUUUGGUCAGCCUAGCUGUUAAUUUUUGUGUUAGUUCAUACAUGAAAUGGUGUACAUAGCACGUGAAUCAAAUUGUAAACAUAUAUGUAUUUAUCGCAUAGACACCUUAGAUAUGACGUGUUAAAAAUAAUCUCUUAAAUUUUAUAGGCAAUGUUUAUUUUCUACAUGUCAAAUCUAAGUCAUCCAUAUGACAAAUACAUAUGUAUUUACAAUUUGAUUCACGUAUUUUAAAUAUGCUACACGUAAGACUUGAUUGAUAUGAUACCGAUACCUUAAGAACCCAUAUAAAAUGUUUCAAAGUGACCAAUUUAAAAUUUAAGACAUAAUUUGAGAAUCUUUGAUACAAUUGCCCCAAAUUUUAAUUUUUCUGAAAAAUAAAACUUACUGAAACAUUUUUGAAUAUUACAAGAGCAGGCUGGCAGAAGAAUAUUGUAGUUUUUUUUUUUUUUUUCUCUAAAUCCGACAACUCAACUCUGGCAUGAAUCCAGUGGCUUGUGUUACAUCCGCACAUAUGAGGUUCGUUUACUUCAUAUGUAGUGGCAUGGCAUAGAUAUGGUUUGCUUUUUUCUUUUCCUAUGAUUGAACAAUAACUAUGACUUUAUCAAUCAUAAAAUGUGUACAAGAGUAAUAUUUCAAUUUAUCGAUAUUGUAUAUAACAGUUAUACACUAUAGUUUCUUUCAUUAACGAAAUGAAUAAAAACUUCAGUUUUAGUGUAUAAUCCGAAAUGAUAAAGAUAUUCUUAAUUUUAAUUAGUAAUCGAAAGAUUAAAUUCGAGCUUUAAUCUAAAAUACAAUGGUUUUGAGACAACCAAAUAAUCCUUAAAUUAAUCUAAGAAUCAGCCGUCAUUUGUUUUUCUUACCAUAUAUAACAUUAAUUUAUGCCACAUGCCUUUCACUUGUAAGUCGGCUAUACGAGAAAGGUCCCAACAUAAACAAUACAAACUCAUUCGCAUGUUAUUUCUUGCCGUUUUCUGACCAAGUUUUUUGGUGUCUGAAUUUUUAAAAAAGAAAAUUUCAAAACCUGAAUAUUUCUUUUUGGUUUUUUGUUGGAAACUUCAACGUGGCUGUCAGCUAUUGAAAUGUUCAUUUUCAUCACAAUCCAAAAAAGAAAACACCAGUUCAAUUCUGCCUGCAAAGGACAAGGACAAGCCAUUAAUUACAAUAUAUCAGGAUCAAUAAUUCAACAAAAGUUUGCUCAAAUAUUACAAGGUGGUGGGUCACCAAAUAAUAAUAUAUAGUGUGUAUACUAUUUUACACCCUGCUUUGUAUUGUGUAUAUGUUGCCAGGUAGAUCAAAUAAAGCAAUCAACUCAUAAAGUAGAUAAACAGGAGUAAACAGUAAGAUACCUAGAUAUUUACAUUUAUUUAAUUCUACUUGAUGGAGUUGUGAUUGGAGUAUGGAGAACAUGGCUUUGAAGGUAAGUUCCAAAGGUUGGGAAAGUGGUAUAACUUUUAUAUUAGUAUAUAUGGAAAGAUGAGAGACAGAAAAAGAUGUCUAAGCUUCUAUGAAUAUGAUUUGAAGGCUCAGUGUUACUUUGUAAUUCUUUUUUUCUCUCAAAAAAAAGGUCAGAUGUGCUUGUGCUUAUAGUGGGCAUACCCUUUACGUGAAGUAAAAUGUUGGACAAGUACAAGAUUCAAUAAUUUAGGUGAUUAGGAAAUAUGAUAAGAAGCCAUUUGGAGCACUCGCUGUGGGUGACGCUUAAAUGUGCCAGAAAAAUCGACAGUUCACCCGUACAAAAGCCAAGAAUAAUGGGUCUGUUUUUUUAACUUAUGGUUACAAGUGGAGGGGCUGAGUGACUGGACGCAUGACCGGAUCAUCAUCACACUGAGACUAACCAGGAGGGUUGCAAAGACUUGUGGGCGUCGUCGGGUUGGAGUCAUGGCCUGAAAUGGGCUCCUUUUUGGUUACCUUCCAAAUGAGACAUGACAACCUCCCCUACCCCUACGCAAAGUGGUACGAUACAACCUUUUUCAAGCUAAUAGAUUAAAUUACUAGGCAAAUCUAAAUUAGGUUAAAACACCUCUUCAGUCCCUCUCAAUUUUAAUAUUGACUAAAUUAGUCUUUCUAAAAAAUCGUAACAAUUUAAUCCUUGUCAAUUUUGAAAGUCAGCAAUUUAGGACAAUUAAUCAUAAUGUUAAUGAUUUCCAUCAAUUGUACAUAAUUUUAAUUGGUAUAAUAACAAAUUUAGCUCUUAAAAUUUACACAUUCUAUCAAUUUGGUCUUAAUUUAGCAAAUUUAGCUUACGACAUUUUGUUUAAAUGUGUAAAUGUUGAGGCUAAAUUUGUUGAAUUUUUUUAGAACGAAAGCCAAAUUGACAAAAUAUGUAAUCAUCGAGAGCUAAAUCUGUUAUUAUACCAAUCAAAAUUAUGCACAAUUGACGAAAGACAUUAACUUUGUAAUUAAUUGUCCUUAGUUGCUCACUUUCAAGUUGACGGAGAUUAAAUUACUUUGAUUUUUUAGAGGGACUAAUUUGCUUAAUUUCAAAAUUGAAAGGGGUUGGAGAGUUUUUUUACCUCUAAAUUACACACAUAAAUGAGGAAUUUAAUUUUGAAACAAAGAUGUAAGAAUAACUAUAAACAAUGACUAUUAACAUUUUCUUAAUGAGAAGAUGAGGCGGAGAUUGUUUUGGGGUUUGUGAGGACUUUUGGCCUACAAGAGAAAAGAAUAAUUAUGGGGCAAUGCAUUGAAGCUUUUGGUCUAAUAUGUUUUCCGUUAGUUAAGUCAAUAAACAAAAAUGUGAUGAGGAUAGAAGGAAUGUUUUAGUAGAGUAUCGGCGGUGACGAUGAUGAUGAUCAUACCGGCAACGAUGAAAAUUCCCAAUAUUUAUCUUGAUGGACCCUUGUAACUAGACUUGAUUAUAGGUUAGGUUUGAGUUGUGUCGGAAUAAAAUUUUAAAGGCUUGUUUUUUAAGUUUUUGCCUAAGUUCAAUUUGAAUUUAAAAUGCUAAACUCAAGUUUAAUUUUUAGAUUAUUUUUUAUAUAAUAAAUUAUGUUGACACCAUUUUUUUUUAUAAAACGGGGUCGACUUGAAUUUUGAAAACAAAAACGAAAGUGGGAGUUGCCACUAAUCCUUUUUGAUAAGGUGUGUCAGGUCACCUUGAAAAGUAGUUGUUUUUAAUAAACAAUUUAAUUUUAUUAAAACAACGAUUUUGGUCCACGAAAUUAAAAAAAACGGGUUCGGAAGUCGGUUAUGUACGAGGAAGAAUGAGUACACUCGUAACGCCCAAAAUUGGUACCUAGUUGAUUAAUUAAUGUUUUAGUGUCGAAGAUUGAAAACUUUAAAGAGAUUUAAAAUACAAUCCAUUAUUGAAAUGUUGAAAAUUUUCGGGAAAAUGGCAUAUUUCACGUUAAUCGAGAAAGAGAAGUAUAUCCAGUAAGUUAGGACACAAUGUCUUAAAUUCCCGAUGCGCAAAUGAAUGCCAAAAAUUUACUCAUUUAGAAGAUUUUUAACUAUCUCGGAUUUAAAAACAGGGAUCAUGCCCAGUAAGUUAGGACACGAUCUUUUCUUAAUUCCUGAGAUCAUUUAAAACUUGAGAAAAAAAUGGAUCAUGCCCAAUAAGUUAGGACACGAUCUCUUCUUAAUUCCCGAAAUCAUUUAAACUUGAGUUUGAAAAGAUUCGUGUAUUUAGAUUUAUUGAGAAGAUCGAAACCCAGUAAGUCAGGGUACGAUCUUCUCGAAUCUAAAUACGAGAUUUUUCUUGUUUUAAAAUCAUGAUUCAUGCGUCGAAUUAAUCUAACUCGAAAUGGUAGAAAUGAAACUCAAUGUUAAUAUGCGUACAGAACACUAUUGAACAUGAUGGUAUAAAAAUAAUACGAGCGAGAGCAACAAAAAUAUGAUAAAUAAAAAGGACAAUUCAAUAACAUACAAAAUAACAAGUAUAUAAGCAAAUAAUAUUAAAACAUUUUAAAAUAAUGAUGAAAACAUAAAUAGAUAAAAUUAUAAAGAAUGUAAGAAGAUAUAUAUGUAAGUACACAUCAAAGUUUGAAAAUAAUAAAAAUAUAAGUAAGCAAAUAAUGAUAAUUUAUAUAUAUUAAAAAAUAUGUCAAAAAGUAUGUACGUAUAUAUAUAUUUUAAAAUUAUAAAACCUAAAAAAUAUAUAUGUAUUUAAAAAGAAAUGUAUAUAUGUACAUAAAAAUUAUAAAAUAUAAAAAAUAUAUAUGAGUAUGUAUAUACAUUCGUGAAAAUAGAAAGAUUUAUAUAGAAAAAAAUAUAUGAGUACGUAUGUAUAUAUAUAUGAAAAUAAAAAAUGUAUAUAGAUUAUAGAAUAUAAAAAUAUAUAUAAGUAUGUAUAUAUAUAAAUUGAGAAAAAUAUGUACGUGUAUUAUAAAAAUGUAUGCAUGUAUAUAUGUAUAUAACAAAGUUUGGAAUUAAAAAAGUAUAAAUGAAUAAAUAAUAAUAAUAAAUAAUAAUAUAAUAAUAUUAAUAGUAUUAAAUAAUUAAUUUUAAUAGAAAAAUAACUAAAGUAGCAGAUUGAGGAUUAAAUUGAAAAUAAACGGAGUUUUAGGGCUGGAUUCAAAAAUAAAAAACACAAGGGGACUGAUUUAUAACGCCCGCGAAGUUCGGAGGAUUGAUUUGGAAAAUAUCCCAAGCCCUGCGCAUAGCAUUUUGACGCGGACUGAAAUAAAACAAAAAUAAAACUAUGCAGCCAAAUUAAAAUAAAAGAAAAGAAAGAAAAAAGGGCUAAAUUGCAAAGCAUUGCAAAAGUGGAGGGACUGCGCGCGAAAAUAUCCCUUUUUAAGAAAACACGUGAAUCCUCCCCUCAGAGUCGGGUCACCACAUGGGUCAGGGCCAAAACGGCGUUGUUUUGGCACCUGACCCUUAAUGUCAAAACGGUGUCGUUUCAUAUGUUUAUAAAAGUUAAAUUUUUUUUUGAAAAAUUUCAUUUCUCCCUGCUUCUUUAAAAAAAAAAAGCUUAUGGUUCUUUCAAACCUCUCCCUCUCCUCUGGCCAGAACCCAGAAACCGGUGAAUAGGGCCGCCGUUGUGCCGUCGCCACGCACGGCGUUCGGACUCCGGGUAAGUUUGUUUCCCUCUUUUUUUUAUACAUUCGACGUAUGUAUAUACAUUGCUUUUCUUUUUAAACUAAAAAAAAAAGAAAGAAAAAAAAACUUCGUAAAAAUAAAGAGAAAGUAAGAAACCUUUUCGUUUUUUUUUCUACUGGGUUUUUUUGCUGUUCUUAACCUUGAAACUUUUUUGUAUUAUUUCUUUUUUUGAGAGAAAACAACAAAAACCGAGAGCCUUUUUUACAAUAUUUUUCCCGCCUUACAUCGUUUUGUUUCUAGGCUUAUAAAGACGAAAUACAAAAAUAUUCCUUUUAUUUUUCGCUGUUUUAAAACUUCUGUUACGCUGCCUCUCUUGUCUUUCGUCUCUUGGUUGCUGUUUUCUGUUUCUUUUUCCAUGUUUGUUGCAGGUCUUGACGAGGCAAGUCAGAGGAACAGACCCUGACCCUUGCCAUUUUGGUGCAACUGGAGGCCGCCUCGGGUGGUGAGCGCGCUGACAGCAGCACAUGGAGGCAGCGGCGCCUUAGGGUUUCAGUUCCUGCUAAAACCAGUUAAGGUUUCGGGUUGUUUGGGCCAUUAGUUUUUUCUUUAGAAUUGGGCUACAAAAAUUUUGGGUUUUGGGCCGGGCAAAAUGGGCUUGUACACAUUAAAUACACUAAAAAUAUUAAAAUAAAUAUUUCUCAAUAAAUUAAAAAUAUAUUAAAAAAUUUUAUACUUAAAUAACAUUAAGAUAGUUAGAGUUUAACAAGUAAAUGUCUUUAAAAUAGUAAUAAAAUCAACAAUAAAAUAAGAAUUAUAUAAUAUCCAAAUAAUAACAAAAAAAUAGUAACAAUAUAAUAGUAAAAUGGUAGCAAAAUAAUAACAAAACAUCAACAAAACAAUAGCAAAAUAGUAACAGAACAACAAGAGAAAAAAGUUCAGGCUUAUUUAAGUUGGGUCAGGCCAGGACUAAAAAAUUCUAUCCGAAACCCAACUAAUUUAAAAAACGAGUCUUAUUUUUUGCCCAAAUUCAUUUUUUUGGUUUAUAAUGUUAAUAUUUAUAAUUUCACCUAUUAAAAUACAAAAAAUAAAUUGUUGAUUUUUAAUUUAAGAAGAUUAAUUUACUCCCUAACUUAAAAAACAGGAUCUGCCAAAUAAUAACCUGUGAGAAUGAUAUGUUGAUGAGAUGACAUUCAGAUCCAUUGCUUGCUAAGUUUGGAGGUGCUCUUCGGCUUUCUGCUAUAAGUCCGAAUAACAUACUAAGAAUGGCCCGUGUCGUAACCUUGCCUUACAUUGCAGAUAUUGGGCUUUUCUCUUGGAUAGGAGGUAACCCAUAACACAAUGCUCAUAGUAUAUUUAUUUAUGGUCGGAUUAUCUGUCUAGAUUCGAAGGCUUGUCUGAAAUAUAAAAAAGUUUAAUAAAAAUAUUAGAGUCGAAAAAUAGACAUGGACAGGUUCAGGCCUGAACAUAAUUAUUUGUAAGUUUAUAAUACUUUAUAUUAUGUUAUUUUUAUAUAUUAUGUAAUUUAGAAUACAUUAAAAAAAUAAACCUAUACUAAAUGUAUAAUACUACUCCAAUGUAAAAAUUAAAAUAAUGUUAAGAUGAAUAUAUAAAAAUUUUCAAUAAUGUAUAAAAUUAUUAAAUAUUAAAAAAAUAUAAUUUAAAAUAAUAUGAGCGGGUUUAAAAUAGGAUUGAGUUAGUUUUUUACAAAUAUGAGUGAAUUUGAACAAAAUUUUAAACUCAUAUUUCGGGUUGAGUCAAGCUUAAAUAAAUAUAAAGUAUAUUAAUAUUAUAUUUAAGCCCAAUCUAAACCUGAUCCUAUCGAUGAACACCUCUAACUUAUACUCAUCUUGUUAACUACUUGUCUUAAUUUCAAAACAUAAAUUCCAAGAUUACAAUUAAUUUAUAGCAAGAAAAGAGAGAGUAAGAAAUAUGUUCAAUAAACCUUUUAACAAAUUAAAUACUUUUUCUUUAUUAAGGUAAAGGUAUAAGGGAAGGGAUUGUCGAGAUUUAAAUCGGGAUUUAAUGUUAAUAGACCUAAGCAAUAUAAGUCCAUCAUUAAUUAAAAAUUUAAGGUUUAAGGGUGUAAAAAGUCUUCAAUUUUUUUUAAGAAAAGCAAUUAAAUUUUUUUUUUCGCACUCAAUUGAACACUUGAACUUUCAAAUGUAUCAAAAAGGCAUUGACAAGAAUUUAAGACCUUAACAAAAAGAAAAGUCAAACUUUGCUAUUAUACAAGUUGUAGAUUUAAUUUGGUCAAUUUUAGGAGAUGUGCUUUUUGUUAAAAUUUUGUUUUGUACUAUACAUAAAGUUCAUGUUCUCUAAUUGAAUCACUUUUAGUCCCUAUAUUUGUUGAAUUUCAAAAUUUCAAUCUUGUACACUAUUAAAUAACUUUGUUGUGACAAAUAUAUGGAAAUAGAAAGGUGACAUAUUAUUACACAUGUGAUAAUAUGUUUAUCGCAUUAGAUUUUAAAAAUAACACAAAUUAAUGAAUUUAACCGUUACCAAGAUCAAAACUUUUAAAUUAAAAAAUAUAGAAAAUUAAAAUUAUCAAAUUAAAAUAUUACCUAUUUUAACUAAAAAUAAAUGAUAAGCAGACUCCAAUAAGACAAAGAAAACCGACCUUUGCGAGUGAGGCGAACAAUUUCUUUAGAAUUAGAUUCAAGGGUGAUGGUAGCUCCUGCUUCAUGUUCCUAUUGGGAAGGGAUUUGUUGCUGAUGUGUGGGUUACUAGAUUAGAAUUUGAAGUCACUGUCAAUGUGUCCUCCAUCUCUAUAAUUACCAGCAUUAUUACCAUAUUUUAUUCUCUAAAUCAUUCAUUCAGAACCAAAAUCUCUUUCCAGAAAGGUUAUAAUAAUAAUAAUAAUAAUAAUUGGCUUGUUGUGAAUAUUAAUAGGAGUUUAUUUAGUGUUAAAAUAUUCUCUCAAAUAAUUAUCUGGCUAUCUCCAUGGCUGAUAUAAAUUCACAGCCUUUUCUCUGCAGGUAAGUUAGUAUAUACCAUAUGGUGCAAUAUUGAAUGGUUUAGCAGAUUGUGCAGUCUCAAAAGAUAUUCGGGUUUAAACUGAUCAUUGAAUUUUAUUCCCCAGCCUAUGGAAUUUAAUUUCAAUCUGUCGGUAACCAUGAACAUGGCAACUUUUAACAUACAUCUAUGAACUUUUUUCUAUUUUCUGUACUUAUCUGCACAAUGUUUAUAAAAUACUAGUGAUUAGUUUGUCACUACAAAAGAAUUGAGUACUGCACUACGUGAUGUAUACUAUGCAAGUGUUCUGAUUGUUACACUAUGUCCAGCUAGACACUCUGACAAGGGGAGCUCCCAUGUAACCCAACACCAUUUCAUUGUUAUUCUGUCCUUCUGUUUUCACCGAACAUGAACCCUCCGCUUGUCUCACCAGCUCCUCUGCGUCCAAAUAGUUUUCCCAGCUCAUCCUCCGAGGUUCCAAGCCGAGUUUCGUGAGGGAACACCCUGUACUGCAAGUUUCUUUCGAUUGUUGAGCAUUAACAAGGGAACAAAGAUGGGGUACCACAAACAAACAUUCCAUAGCUAUUCUUGCCUCUAGGAAUUGAAAUUGCUCCAUGGACUCAAGCAAGGCCUGGAAGUAGACCAGCUGUGCUUCGAAGAAUGAAUCGAAACUCUUAUCAUCUGUCCAUUUUUUGAUACCAAUUCCAUCUCCCAAAGUAAUGAUGCCUUUACUUGUAUCACUCCUAAGCAAUGCCUUUGCUGUUGUAAGAAAUUCCUCCACGUGCUUAACACUCCUCUGUUUUUCCAUGUGAGGUAACCCAACCAUACAAUUGAAUGCUAACCACUCGUUAUCCAUUUUAACCUUGCUCAUUAAACCUUCUAUAUCCAUCUCCUCUACCUCCAUUCUAAGCCCAACAGUCUUUGCAUGUUUACACAGCUGCUUCUUCGUCUCCUCGAAGCUAGUUGUAGCAUUGCAACUGCCAUCCUCUUCCUCCCAUUUUAUUGUGGUCAGCCGCAACGUUCUUAAUCCUUGCCUUCCAAGUGUUUCGAUCAAAGCAGGCCAUUGUAUGCCUUUACCAAUAUCGAAAUCCACAAUAUGUAGUACCGUAGCAUAGGCAGGGAUGGAUUCCAGUAUGGCCGAAUUGGCAGUGAAAUGAGCAAACCUACCAUAGGGGAAGAUCUGAUACAAGGCAUUGAAGGCUGCAUCGUAAUUUUUGCUUGCUUCUUGCAUUAAGUAGUUAGCUUGCUUGUCCAAUGAUAGUGUCAAAUAAAAUGCAAGUCGUUCGAUGCUUUUGCCGGUCGGAGAGGCCUUUUCGUUUAGUCUCCUAAUGAUUUCUUGUGCUAGCUCCAUCUGUUUGCUCCCCAUGGCAUCCCCACAAGCUUUCAAUAGAUGAAGAAUCGAUGUUUGGUUAUCAAUUUCCAUGCUUUCAUCAGGCAGAACCAAGUAAGCUUGAACCAGUGGGAUGACAUCCAUGGAAACUUCACCCGACGUUGGUGAGAGAUUCUGGCAGCUGACAUCUUCCAUAAACAUCUGUUCCGAACAGUAGUUUUCAACACCAUCAAGACUAAACUGGUCAUUUGGAGUAUCACCCUCAUUAACCCAUUGUAAGAUGCCUGGCAAAUGAGUGCUUAAAAAGUGGGAACUAUAGGCUUCAUCGCCAUAUGGAGUUGAAGAAGAAAUGUCUGAGAAAUCUUCAAUGGAAACAGAUGAAGUGGAAAACUUGAAACUAUUAACUAGGGCAUCCAUGUCUGCCAAGCCAAACCCUUCAUCUUCAAUUGGUAAACCUAUUGGAUUGUAAGUUGGCCAAGAAGCGUGGAACUCCAUUUGCAUCUUCUUGGAUAGCAAUGUAAAAUGAGAUUGGUGUUCUCUUCCUUGCACAAAGAAGCUCUGCUAUAUAUAGCCAUGAAAAGAAAAUUCAUAAAAAUUCUGCACAUUGUUUUUUUAUAGGUAGGCACUUUCUCAAGACUUCAUCCUAUUGAAGUUCCCUCUAAAUUCCUCCCACUUCUUUGGCAGCUACUGAGGAAGAGUAGCGUUGUGUGUUUAAUCUGAUCCCCAUUCAGAAUAUUGUGAUGGAAUAUAGUCUCUGUCAAAUGUUGUUCAGCUCAAGUCAAAAAGAAAAUUGAAUUUUUAAUGAAGUCCUGUGAUACAAGCUACAUUAUAUCAUACUUUUCAAAACUCCCCUCUAAUGAUAAUUAAAUAAUGGGAUUAGUUUAUCCUCUUACAUCCAAAUCCCUUUCAAAGAAAUUAUAUCAAUUAUGACCUUAACAUUGACGUGUUUGAAAUCAUGCAAACCUAUCCCAUUUACAGAUUAUAGUAAUUAAUGAAUGAUGGUGAAUUUUUUUUUAAUUCACGUCAUAAUCAAUUGUUAUAAGUGUUAUAUGAGAAAUUAAUGGAUAUUUCAAGAUGUGUAUCAAUGUCAAUUUUUUUCAAGAUUUUAUUUAUUUUGUAUUGACGAAAAUAGUUCAAUGACAGAGUAAAUUUAUCAAUUUCUAUAAAUAAUUUAUGCAAUAUCCCAUUAUUAAAUAAUGUAUGUUUUUGGGUGUGUCAUACAAAUGAAAUAUCAUAAGAAAUCUCAUGUCUCUUUAUAAGGACAUAAUUACUCAAAUGGAUAGUGCAAUAAAUAUAAUUAUUUAAUAGAUAUCAGGCUCGUGGUUUUGACGUGAGGGGUAGGAAUGACUAUAUUUUCAGGAGCAAACUCUAGGCGAAUAUGAAGCGUAUGAAUACAAUACCUUGAAAUGAGAAACAAUUCCGAACUAGCUUUGUCUACGAACAAAGAAGCUAUAAGUAAUGCAAUUAUGAAUCUCAUGGAGAGUUCAAUCCCGGCUCAGGAUGAACUCUGGCGGCAUGCUUAACACAUGCAAGUUGGAUGGGAAGUAGUGUUUUUAGUGGCGGACGGGUGAGUAAGGCAUAAGAACCUACCCUUAAAAGGAGAAAACAACGAAUAAUUAUGACCAUUUAUUAAUAACCAAUUGAUAUAAUUUUUGGUUAACUUUUCAUUUGAUACCAUUAAAAUACUCUAUAUAUUUUAAAAAUAUUCCAAAUAUUGAACUGAAUAAAGGUUCCAAAGCCUUGGCUCUUUCCUAUCAAGUAUAUGGUAGUUUUGACUCUAGUUUUUUAAUCUUGCCAGCUAUAUCCUAUGAAUUUUUAUUUUGGAUUAUGAAGAAACGAUCAAACAUUAAGAAACAUCAAAUAAUUUUCCACGAUUUAUGUUUAGAAAUUUCUUUAGGUAACAGGAUAAUUGCGUACCUACCAUCCCUCUUUGUCAUGACAGAUACAGAAGCAAUAAUUUGCAGGUAUCAAUGUUUCAUGAUUGAAGACAAAAAAUGGAUUGUCUUAUGUUAUGGGUUCCUACAAGUUUUCCGAAAAUUUUCACUUCCAUGGCCAUGGGGUGUUACAUGGUCAAACAGCGUUGAAGAUUAGUUAUCUACGCAUCUUCUAACCCGCAUUUGGCUACAAUUCUGGCCUCUACUUGCUGUCGUUUAUGUUAUUCUUUUUACCUAAUGGCCGAUGUUUUAAUGCAGAGUUGAUAUUAACUUGCAUCAAAAAACCACCAUUUUAUUUCACUUCCAUAAGCAAAAAAGCAAUUAAAUCCGAAACCAGCUUGCCAUGCUUUGAAAAAAAAAAGACCAGUUUUCAUCUCUUCACUGUCAAGCAUCCAAAAUUUGGUUUCCUUUUACCAGAGUCAACAACAUGGGAAAGGUUGUUGGGUGUUCAGUUCAGACAAUGGAAUGUCAAGAAUCUGCCGACUGACAACAAAAAUCCAUACACCAGUGGUCGAAAUCAGUUGUAAGCGAAAGUUUUAAAGUAGGAACUUACAAGUUUAGGGAACAAGCUAUAUCCAUAAACACUAUCAACACCAAAUACGACAGAAAAGUGCAAAUACAAUUACAAUCCUAGGCCCAAUUUGCCCGGGGCCCAUUCAAAAUAAGCAGAAAACCAAGAAAAAAUAAUAAAUAAAAUUCAGUCUAAAAAUAGUUCAUUUACAAUUGGCCCAGAUCAAUUUACUCAAAAAUACAGACUCUAACCCCAAAAUAUACCAAGACCCAAAAUACAAACCAAGCCCAUUUAUAAAUGGCCCAGUACAAACCCAAACUCUAGCCUAAACACCUAAUGGCCCAACUCAGCCCAAAUCCCAACCUAAUGGCAGAAACCCUAGCAACGAGCAAGCCCCAGCACCGCAGCAGCCCCAACUCCUCCGCACGUGCCAAGCCUCUGCCCCCACGCAUGCGCCUUUGCCUCCGUACACGCCACGUCCCCAGCCCUGCUCUCCGUACUUGCAAGAGACGAACAAACGAGCAGCAAAAACAGACAACGGUAAAAAAAGGAGCAACAAUGAGGGAUUGACAGCAAAUACUAGCAGUAAAUAGAAAGUGUAAAAUUUUUUAAAAUUUCUUUGUCUCUAUCCGGCUAUAAAAAGGGCCAAUUGAAAUUUGUAAAAGGGGGAGGCAUAUUGAAUACAAGAAAAUAAAAAAAAAUGUUCAGAGAAAACAAAAGCAAAAUUUGAAAGGUGAUUGCAGUGUUCCUUUUUUUGGUUUAUUCUUUUCUAUUUAUUUAUUCGACAAUUAUUCUCUAAAAAAGUAGAGGAAAAGAGAGGGAGAGGAGAACGAGCAAUUGGAGUUGGAUGGAGGUUAGAGGCAUGAAACAGCGCAGAGAUGAGAAGCUUGCUUAGGUUUUGUUUCAAAUGACAAAUUAGGUUUAGUUUAGGUUUUUUAUUUUUAUUUUUUAUGCUGAUAUUGAAACGACGCCGUUUUAGGCCGCGACCCGAUGACCCGACCCAGAUGCGGUUAGAUCCGCAUGUUCUGGCGUAGGGAGGGAUAUUUGCGCGACCAGUCCUUCCCUUUUCUGGUGUUUUGAAUCAAGUGCCUUCUUCUUUUCUAAUUUGGCCCCGUAUUCUGCUUUGGUUUCAUUUCAACCCAGCAUGCAACGCUGCGUUUUGGGGAAGCGGGAUAUUUCCCAAUCGGGCCCCCAUAUAAUACGCGCGUUGUAGUAUGGUCCCUCACUUUUCUUUAAUCUUAGUUGUUCCCUGUUAAUUCGACUUUGUUUGUGAUUUAAUCGUUUUUGUUAUUUGGUUUUUUUUAUUAAGAAAUCUAUUGUUAUUUUAUUAUCAUACUUAUACUUAUUCUUAUUAUUGUAUUAUUAUUAUUUAUUUGUUUUCUACAUAUAUAAUCAACUUUAUAUUUUUAUAGAAAGGUAAUUUCUAAUAAUAAUACUUUAUACUAUUAUAUGUAUAUAAUAUAGAUUUUUCUUACUAUGCGUACAUAUAUAUUUAAUAAUAUAUUAUUGUUUUCAAAGGAUAUUUUUUAUGAAUGAAAACCUUAUUCCUUUUAAAUUUGUUAUCUUAUUCUAUUUGUUUAACUUUUAUAUUUUUAUUAUGUAUAUACUAUUGUUUAUACUAGAUUUUAUUUAUAUAAAUUAAAAUGUAGGCAUUCAUUUUAAGUUAUUCACUUUUAUUUCAUUUUGUUUUUUUUUUUAAAUCUUUUAUUUGUUUCCUUAGUUCUAUUACCAAAUUGUAUCAAAUACUCAUAUUACUUAUUGUUCUUAUUGUCUUUUUCAGUUUUUAAAUGAUUAUGAAUUUAUGAGUUGCUUAAUUUUAAUGUGGAUGCUUGUAUAAUAUGAUUAAAGUCAAUGUUUGUAUUUGCCUAUUAUUUGUUAAAUUGCCUCUAGUUUAAGUUUAAAUUGUUAUUCAUCUUUUACAUCAUAUAUAUUGUUAUUCAAUCAUGUUCUCUGUAAGGACCCAAAAAUUCACGAGCAUCGAAAAAAUAUAAUAUCGGGCCUCUGUCUUAGUAAUUUGAGUUCGAAAAUAAUUAUUAGAAAUAUUUACUAGACUAGUUGUGUGUUUAAUUAGGUUUUAGAUAGGUGAAUUUAGCUUAAUUAAGAGUAAUUAGUAAAAAGGAUUAAAUUAUAAUAGAAGUGAAAUUUUAAUUAUAGAUUAAAAUAAAUUAAAGGAAAAUAAUAGGGACCAAAUGGGCAAUUAAGCCACAUUUGGAGGUUGAGGCAGCAUAAGAUGGUAAAAAUCUUAGAUUUUUUUAUAUUAUUAUUUAUAUAAAUAUAGAAAUUAAUUAUAAAGUAUAUUAUUAAAUUAAUUAUAUUAUAUUAUUAUAUUUUUUAAAAAAAGUUGAUAAAUGUAUGGUGCAUAUGAAGAUAUGUGGAAAAGUGAAAUACAUAUAUUAAUAAUUAUUACAUAUUUACUUAUCAUUUAAGUAAAUAAUAUUAUAUUAUUAUUGUAUUGUUAUUAUAUUAAACUAAUUAAAUAAAAGAUAGAAAAGGAGAAGUAGAAACAGAAUAGGUAAAAAAAAAAAGACACAGAGAAAGACGAAAACAGGGGAGAAAGGAAAGGGAAAGAAAAAUAAAAGGAAAACCUAGGGAUUUGAAGCUUGAAGUUUAAUAGGUAAGCUAAAUCAAGUCCUUUUCUCAUAAAUUUGAUGUUUUUGAAAUCCUAGAGUGAAAUACUCUUGGAUUUAAGUUGAAAAUUUGAAAGAUAAUAGAUUUUUUAGUAGGGUUUAUGUUAAAUAAAUGAUGGAAUUGAGGGUUUAUUUGAUAGAAUUUCUAGUUAGAAUUGAUAAAAGGGGGUUAAAUUGUAAAGUAAGCUAUAAGUUUUGAAUUUUAGGGAUUAAAUUGAAAUAAAUUCGAAAUUAUGAAAAUAUGAUAAAAAUUAGAUAGUUAAAUGUGA
rnacentral:lncRNA from 1 species